AAAGAGUGUGUGCACAGAAUCAGCGUUGCGAUUGAGGCACAUUGGAGACGCAUGGUUUCAGAAAUGUGUUAAAAAUCUAGCGGCAUUCUUUGGCAGUGACAGGGAGGUGGCUUAGAUAGUCCCUCUUAUGGGCGUGUCUCAGUCCUUGUGCAUUCGGGCAUAUGGAUGUACACCAGGGAAGAACUUUAUAGCGGCGUCUGCAAAAAGUCACGGAUGGGCGACAACCAACAGACACAGACAUGGAAGCCUAUAUACCUAUUUCCAAGGGGAGAUUGAGGAGCAACGUCAUUGGUAUGUCCACGCUAGCUUGCGUAAAGAAGGUUCCUAUUUCCAAAAGAUCUGGAUCUCCCUGUUUACAUUAAAACAAAGUUGCUAGACAAUCUUCUUUCCACUGAGAUCACUGAGGCUUCAGCCUAAGGAACCACCAUCAUGUUAGGAAAUGAAGCAGCACCAGUUUCCCAGUGAAAGCGAUUUUGUAGAGAACCUGGAUGCGGACUUUAUCAGGAUGGAGUGGAGAUAUACACAUAAGCUGUUUCUCCAAUAAAGACAUUUCCCCGUCUCAUAGUGCUGGAAGCAGGAAUCGCUAUUGUACAAAGGAACGCAAACAGGAAGUGCAAAGAAGACGAUGAAAUGCAGACAUCACUUCCGGUGACGUACUUCCGCUCCGGGUGCCGGUCCUCGUCAAGAAUCAGACUGAUGAGGGACAUUUAGGGGUAAUUAAGAAGGGUACUUAAGCGGCUCCUGUGGACCAGUUACCUUAUGCUUCUGAGGAAGGUCUUUUGACCGAAAGUGCGCUAAAGCACAAGGUACCAAUUUGCUGGACUCCGUUUCAGAGACGUGGGAAGAUCAGCUCUGUGAUUAAUUGGAUUUCCAGUGUGACUUACAUCCAUUGGGUGAUACAUGUUUUUAACACUGUUGUCUAUGUGAGUGUGCAUUUGUCUAGUAAAUGUUUUUCUAUCAUA